GCGGAUCCAGAACUUUCAUAAAGGGGUGGUAGGUUCUGACUGACCAGAGGGUUGCCCUCUCCCGUCAUGGUUCAAUGAUUUCCUACGUGUAUAUAAUCAACUUAAUUUCCCCCACCCCCUUGGUCUGUCUAUGCAUCUGUCUAUAGUCCUGCGAAAUAGUACUAAUACUGUUUUUUUCCCCUCCCUUAUUUGGCCCUCGACAGUUGCUUAUCUGUUUAUCUUUCUAUCACUGGCAUUUUUAGACUAGAGAUUUCAUGCGUUCAAACCCAUGUUCUAUUGACCCUGUCGGUGUGUGUCUCUUUUUUUUAUUUUCUCAAUCUGGAUGUAGGGAUUUGAUAUUUUUUUAAUUUGGGACUUCAGGAUUUCAUGUUUUUUAUGUCAGGAUUUCGUGAUCAGGACAACUCCAAUCCCACUCUUAAAUAAUGACUUAUUUAGACUUACCUUCUAAUUCUAUAAAAAAAAAAUGCAACUCAGAACAGGAAAAAUGACACUAAGUCUGAUUUACUUCCACUACUGAUCAGGUAAUAUGCAAAGCUAAAAACAGACACAUAAAUAACAUAAAAUAGUGAUUGAAAGAUUGAUUGCACUUUAAAUGUACAAUUCAGACACGUGUUACAUGAGGAGCCAGUUUGUUUACAAAUAAUUAUGUCACGUGAAG
rnacentral:lncRNA from 1 species